UAGAAUAACAAGUUAAAGAGUAACAUAUAGGGAGUAUGGAAAAAGCCCAUCAUAAAAAUGAGGUUACUCAGACCAGUACGAGGAAGCAGUGUGAUUAUACACACUUAACACAGAAAGACAGAAACAAUAGGAUUACUCACACAAUCUCAAACUCUAAUGAGGCGCAUCAGUUACACUCCCACAGCAACCUGGAGAAAGAACAAGAAUCAAAUCUGCUGUUAUCCUAAUAAGGACUUGGCAGAAGGGUUGCAGUUGACAUGUCCUACUUACUUACCACAGGGCUGCUAGGGAGUGCAGGGUUGGGUUUCUCCUACCUAAUGGAGAGAGGAAGUGAAAAUACAUGCGGUGAUUCUCCUAGCCACCUUCAGCUCCAGUAUCAUCCUUAACAUAACCGAUACAAAAAUGUGGGUAUGAAGUCAACAGAGGAAGCUCACAGGUGGAUACACUCAAUCUUUGAAGACCACAUCUCAUAUUUUAAAUUACUGGUGACACACUACCAACAAGCCAUUCAAAUAAAGACAGAAAACAUGAUCAGUCUCCCUAAAUGCACUUCCUCAACUGGACCUUUUAAAAAGAAAAAGUGCUGAAUUGACUUCAGGUCUUUGUGACUGUGAAGGCAAUAUCUGUAAAUGGUACAAAUGAAAGGAACCGUGCUGUCUGAAAUUACACAUCUGCAAAAUUUUGUAAGAUCUAUUUUUGUAAAUAGAUUUUGUACUACAUGGUAGAUAUCCCUCCUUUUUUUUCCCAUGACAUUGAGAAAGCAGCUGGGAACCUCCUAUACACAAUUAAUAUCUUUCAGUUACAGAGGUUUCAGCCAGAUGAAGUGUCCUCUUCUCUCCAUGCAGGAUGGAAGGAACCCCAGUGCAUCAGUAUAGGUUAGGGGCUGACCUGCUGGAGAGAAGCUCCGCAGAGAAGGACCCAGAUGUCCUAGUGGGCAACACGUUGGCCAUGAGCCAGCAGCAUGUCUUUGUGGACAAGAAGGCCAGUAGUAUCUUGGAGUGCAUUAAAAAGAGCUUGGCCAGCAGCUCAGGGAACGUUAUCCUCCCCCUCUACUCUGUCCUGGGGAGACCACAUUUAGACUGUUGUGUCCAGUUCUGGGCUCUCCAGUUCAAAAAAGACAAGAAUCUCCUAGAAGGAGUCCAGUAGAGGGCCAAAAACACAAUAUAAGGCCUGGAGCAUCUCCUGUAUGAAGAAAGACUGAGUAAUCUCAGUCUUUUCAGCCUGGGGAAAAGACAACCAAAGGGGAAUCUGAAUAAUGUUCUUAAAUAUCUAAAGAGAUGUGGGAGGCAAAUGGGACCAGGCUCUUCUCGGUGAUGUGUAAUGAUAAGACAAGGAGUAAUAGACUAAAACUUGAAUAUAGGAAGUUCCAUACUAACAUGCAGAAGAACUUCUUUACAGUAAGGGUGUGAUGGAGCACUGGAACAGGCUGCACAGGAUGGUUUGGAGUCGUCUUCUAUGGAGAUAUUCAAGAGCCGUCUGGAUGCCUACCUGAGUGACCUAUUGUAGGGAACCUGCUUUAGCAGGGGGUUGGACUCGAAGGUCUGUUGAGGUCCCCUGUGAUUCUGUAUAACACAAAAAGGAUUUGUCCUAGUUUUCUCAAGAGCUGAGCUUCCUUCUCAACAACUUCUACACUCUUGUUUGAGCUUUCAGAUGAGCAAGCACAGCACUGAAUACCUACUCAAACUCUCUCUCUCUCCAGAACAAGAAAUUAAGCAUGUUUUUAAAAGCUUUCCAAAAUUGAGGUGAUUUCUCACCUGAGAUAUACCUCACAGGAAACUCCAAGAUUUCAAAAUCUGUAAUCAUUGCUUCUAUGCGAGACUGAAAUACAUGAAAAUCAACAGUUUACUUCAGGUUUACAAAAAUGCUUCUCUGCAACUUCACAUCAUUUUAACAUUUAUGUACUAUUGUAAAAAAAAAAAUCUAAAAUACAAACAUUGAAAUAAAACAUACAAAGUGAACACAAUUUAUCUGAGUUAUAAUACUUGUACAUUAUAUACACUGUAAUACUAUACAUAAUAAUAAGCAUCAUUAAAUAUUUCACAGAAUAUUGUUGAAAUUGUGUUCUGUCAAAAUCAAUUUGUCAGAAUCAGAUCAUUCUAACUACGUUUUCAUUCAGCUCAAGACUUUGUGUGCUCUUCACAUCCAUUCCUUCUCAGCUGAAAAGUUUCCUAAUGCUUUCUCUGGCACCACAAUAACUUAUUUGUAGCAUUUCUAUUUAAAAUUUCCUUCCCUUAUAUUGAAGUCAGAUUUUUGUUGUUGUUAUUCCUUGCCAUUCAACACCAACAUCAUCAGAAGAAAGCUGUUUUUAUCUCCUCAAAACACUUCAGUAUGAGUAGUUUCAAGGAAAAUUAUGCAUAAGACCUCUCAGUUUGUGCCCCCAUCACCACUUGAGCUCUCCAAACAUAUAACUUGAGCACAGAGAUUGACCCAAACUUUUUGCAGCCUGUUGGUGUUUCUGGUUAUUCUCAUCCCUGAUGUUACAAUACACCCUGAAAAGCAGUGUUUAAUUGAUCAAACAAGAAAAACAAAUGCUUCCCCAAGGCAAAAAUUCCAUGAGCUUUUUGGAUGUUUUCUAUGAAAUUAACAAGCACUUCUGUCAGUACUUGGAAGUCUAACACCCUGUUUUUUUGAAUGGACUGAAGUAUAGAAGAGAAAGCUUGAACAGGAUUUUACAACAACUUCAACAUGCUUAAGGUCAAUUCAGACUAAAAUAAUACUUGUUUUAUGACAUUAUUCAUAAGAUAUUAAGUUUGUAAAACAGAUUUUAUUCUCAAAAUACAAUAAAUCCUGUUACAGAAGUAGUGCUAGGAAAACAGAAUGAGAAUAUUGUUAUAUGCUAAACUUACAGAAAAGAGUGACAGACCAUGCUAUUGUAAACAUUAUUUUUAAUGCAUUUAUGCUUAAUGUUCCUACAACCAAACUCCAUACACGUGGAAACAUUAAGAGCAGCUUAAGGACUUUUAGGGGCACAGUGCAGCUGCAGGGCUAUAAUCCACAGGUGAUCCAAGCACAGGAAAGGAAAAGGGCUCCUUUUGUAAUGCCAACAUCAAUUAAUGGCUUCAUGCUGAUAUAGUGUAGGGGAAUAUAAGACUAUUGAGAAUAAGAGUAAUACUUGUUUUCCCUGAUCAAAUGAAAAACACGAAACCUGAGAAAUAAAAUCAGAACAGCAACAACAAUAAAAAACCUCUUCAACUUUCCAAGGUUUUGCAAUGGUAAAACCACUGGCAAGCUGGAACUCAGAUCUCAAAGUCAUUGAACUCUGAGCACAGUGUAUUUUAGCACUAUCCUCAAGACAAAUGAAUUAAAAGACAUUCCAGUAUCUCACGCAUGAAUUUCCCAGAUUUCUCCUUGCUAUUCUCCCCUGGGGGGGGGAGCAUUCCAGGAAGAAUGUUGUUCUUUACAUAGAAACAUGAAACACUAAUCUUGGAAGGAAGAGACACCUGACUGAUACAGGUUUUGGUUACUCAAGAGCUGAUGUUUUUCCCAUCAUAUCUGCAUAAGUGCUUUGGCAUGCACAACUACCUGAAAGGCUAAACGCUUAAUACACAUGGUCAAAACAAAAGUUUGAGAUUUUAAUUUCAUGAUGUUACUAAAAAAACACCAAUAAUUUAGUUUCAAACUCAGAAAUUUAAAAGGAAAUUCAGAUCACAUUCAGAAAACAAAUAAGAAAUAGUAAUCUGUGUUUCCCAGUCUGCAUGACAUCAGGCACACUUAAUCCUAACAAACUAAGUUAUAUUGAACCCCUAUUUCCCUAGGGUAAUCCAAGCCUUUUGAGAAUGGCCUCAAGGUAACAAACUCCAGUACAAUCAAAGCACAAGUCUUUCAGCCCUUGCCUGUACAUAGCAUUUGUCUAAAUUGCAGGCCAAGAAAAUAACUUUACUUCUUGAUCUGCAGAUGAAUAUCUGUUGGAAAAUCUGAUAAGAGAGAUGAAUUUUCAUUCUAGAGAUACUACUGAGAGUGUUUCUUUAGAAGAUGAUCAACUUAGUGAAGAUUCCCUUAGAAUACCUAGGCUUAAACCUACUGAAAUAAAAACUAUAUUAACUUACCUGAAUACACUGUGAAUUUCUCAAAUACACCUAAGUAACCCAGGUUUUUUCAUUACUGCUCUCAUUUUUGACAGAAACCUAGUGUAUGGUUAAUAAAUAUACAGAUGUUAUACAGUAUACAGAGAUGUUACGUUCGUAAGAUUAGCGCAUCAGAAAAGUUAAUCAGAUAUAAAUGAAAGGUGCUCACCGGUGUUGUAGGCUCACAAAAACUCCACAAGGAGCAAUCUCCAGAAAGAGAUCCCUUCUCAGUGGCAGUCAGCCCUCAAAUGGGGUCUAGGAGAGGUGCAGCCAGGCUCCACCCCUUCCAGUCACACAGGUGAAUUGCCUUCACCUGUGCUCCCGCAGCUGACUCAGUGCUUGCUUCAGGUGAUCAAUCAGAUGUUCAGGCCAUGACUCAACAGUUCCCAUACACUUAAAAAAAUCUGCUCCUCUGGGUUUUGGUUUUGAACAAAAAUAAAAUUUUAAAUCAAGUUUUGCCUUCAACCUUAUUCACAUGUAGCAGAGACUGUGCUUUUACAGGGGUUCACUUGAAGGAGCAAAUGCUUUUCAGAAAUCUGAACAGAAUUCAGCAGGAGAAAGUAAACUCACAUUAAAGCCCAGAAUAUAUUCAUUCAUAACCCCUAACCAAUGAACUCAUCAUUAACACCCCAAAUAUACAAAAAAGCAACUCUGAAUGGUUGUUUCCUAUUAUUGGCCACUAACUACAAAUAAAUAACACUACCAAAUCUCUUUCUGAUUUUUCAUGAAUGAGUAGUAUGUCUAGAAAAGAUUUUUUAAUUUAAAUUUAAAUAAGGCUAAUCAUAGAACCACAGGAUCAUAUUAUUUACUACAAGUAUUCAAAAGUGCAAAGUGAUUUAUAAGCAUCCACAGAACCCUUAAAGUUUUGCAAUUUUAAUUCAAAUGACUGUGCAUCAGAAAAGUCAGAGCCAAAAGUGUUUUGCUUGUAAUUUUCCUGUUUUAAAAGUAUGAGACUAUAUGAAGACAAUUCCAUGCAAUCUACAUGAACAAUCACAUAAUUUGAAUCAGCACAGGUAAGCAAACAAAUGAAAAACAGAAAGUAAGAGCUAAUAAUUUAAAACAAAUGUAAUAAUGAUAGAAUAAUUAACCCAAAUUAAUACCUACAAUGCCAAUAAUAAGAGAAUCUUCAGUUCUCCAUGUAAUAGAUUGUAAAUUCUGGUUUUGCUUAGUAAUGGGCUUAUCCCAUGUAAUUUGUAGUGUUUAAAAUAUGAGUAUUCUUGGCUUCAGAGUUUUUUCAUACAGAAACAAAAAAAGAUUUGCAAAAUUCACAUUCUGAUCCAAACUUGAAUUCAGAUCAUAACCUACAAAGCCUGUACGUAUUCAGAUCUACAGUUCAGCUUUUUGGCUGCAACGUAUAUGCAAUCAGAAAAUAACUAAGUAAAAAGAUGUUCUCUAAACUAGCUGCAUGAGGUUUCCCAACAUAGUUUUCUGGCUUUUAAAGGCAAAUCUACUUCAUCAAUAUAGCAAAUCUCUUUGAAAAUGUUUUGAAAGAAAAAAAGAGUGUUGCUGUAUCAUGGGCAGGAUGUUGGACAUAUUUUAGUGGUGGCAGUGGUAAACAUCUCUCACCAGAUCUAUUUAGUAGUUAUGCUUAGAUAGCAAUAAAAAUGAAGGAUGGAUGAUUAUUGAUUAUGGGACAAAGCCCAGACUGGUGUCUGAAUCGUUUAGUAAUCCGAACUAUGUAGACUAUUGGACGCUCAUCUGUGGUACACAGUACAGGCUAUGAGUUUAAUGGACGAAGUUAUUACAAACAAUGUCUCUUCUGCUUUAUCUCAGCUGAACAAAUGCAGCCACCACAGUAAAUCAGUGUUAGGUCCAAAGUGAAACUGCUGCUACAAUCAGCAACAGUAAGUACUACAAAUUAAUUGAGUUAUCUUUGAAAGAGGUUUUAGUUUUCACAGUUCCAGCUUAUUUAGCAUUGGCAAUAAAAUUUGGCACAGAAAAAAAAUUUACAUUCACUUCCAUAUCUUAUUUUAGUAGAAAACAAUUAUCAUUGAAUCUACCUUCCAUUCUUUCCCAAAUGUUCUCUGUAUUGUUUUCCCUUGCAUCAAGGAAGACUGUAGUCUUGCUGUCAUCAGAAUCAACUCACUACGUAUAUUUGAGAAGCACCUUAGUUUUGCAAUGUCAUUCACUAUACAAAUUGAUUCCAAAGUGUCUAUUUGUUUACAUAACUAAAAACCGCCUGUACCAGUUGACACAAAGGAUUUCUUGGAUUUGUGCCCAAAUUUUGACCAUAGUCUCCUCUACAAAUUUGCAAUUCCACUCACACUACAGGAGAUGUAGAAAGAGAAACAGAUACUCCUCCAGCUUUGUAGAAACCUUACUACAUCUUUUAAAUAACACCUGUUUGUUUUCACACAACUUAAGCUAUAUACUGGUCAGAGUGUAGCCCACAAAAAUUAUCAUGGAUGGAAGAACAGUCUUAGUGUUAUCAUCUCUGAACCCUGAAGUGUCUGGAAAAAUUCUUCUUUAUCUCUUACAUUUUUACCUGAACAUUAAUUACAUGGAGGAGCUUUCAAAGGCUCAGCAAAAGAACUUGUUUAUCAACGACGCAGACUUCUUAGGCUCAUGGAGAAAGAGGUAUUUAGUUAACUACAGCAUUAUGAAUAAACAUUCAGAAGAUGAAAGCAUAAGUGCAGUCCCCAUGUAAUAGCGCUACUGGCUUAAGACUGGAUAUUCAUCCGAAGCAUUUUACUUGUUAAGGGACAAAAUCUUUGGGAAAUGAUGUCUAAAAACACUCUUCAGUUUCAUCCAGCAGCAACACAGAGAUAAAUAAUGUGCUUCUGAGUCAUAAAACAUGAAGCCGAACACCAUAGCUGGCUGCAGGUUCCUUUCUCCACUCAUGCCUUAAUUGUGCAAUCGAUAAUAAAGCAUUUACAUCAAUAAUUUCCAAGUUGUUAGCUCCAAGUCAACAAUAACAGAGGAAGCUUUGCCAGUUCUGCAGUGCUGGGGCUGUGUUUUCAUAAUGCUUGUGUUAUGCCUUGAGCGCAUCAAUCUAUAGAUCAGCACAUCUGAAGAGAAAAUCCACAGGAUUUUCCCAUGAAACUAUAUUUUGUUCCAACUCCUUUGGACACAGUCUGCUUUCUCUUGAACUUGCUCAAGGAAAAAAAAAAUCUCCAAACCUCAGAAAAGUAUUUUAAUCUAUAAAUAAUUCAGACAGAGCAGGGGUCUCUGUGUUUUUCCAGCACAGCUCUCUUGCUUUUCCCAUUCCUAAAACCGUUUCCAAAUACAAAGCAUUGAAACAGUUCACAAAUAUAUGCCAUUGUGAAGGGGUGAAGGUGAGUCUGUAUAAAGAGAGCCAGGCGAGGAGAGAGUAAAGCAAAGGACCAGGAAGUUGGUCCCUACCUCAGCAGCAUCCCUUGGCUGGCUUCAGACAGCCUCUGCACCAGCCCUGAGCAGAGAGAGGAGCUCUUCUAUCAAGUACAACAUGAUUCAGACAGCUGCUGCUGCUGCUUGAAAUCGUUUUGUUUACAGCAAUGGGAAGGGAAUUGCUAGAGCAAUUAAAAUAAUUUGUUGUUUCAUAAUACAAGCCAUACUAAGAAUGACUGUUAGCUGCAUUUCAGUCUCAGGUACUUGAAAACAAACAAACAAUCAAUCAGAAAAAGUGGCUUCUAAUUUCACAGAGGAUUUUUAGUAAAAAAAAAAGAAAAAGAAAAAGAAAAAGAAACAAAACAACAAAAUAUUUAAUGCUUUUCAAUCUCAGGUGCUGCUGUGCCUGGCAGACACCUGGUUCUCAUUCUUGUUAGGAAGGAGCAGCCCCUUGCCAGGCCAAAUGGGGGCUGCAGGUGGACCUGUACCGCCCACCUGAGGUUUCACUCCUUGUUGAAGGCUGUGAAGCCACAGGGAGCACAUAUAUACCUAAAGAAUGAGAGAAGAGGUGAAAUAUGAACCUGUCAUCUACUCAUCCUUACCAAGGCAGCUUCUUGGCAGUGCGCUUUCAGAUCUGUGGUAGGACACUGAAGAGACAUGUUCCAGCAGUCUGACAUCUAUUUAAUGGUUUCUCCACAGGCUUCACGAGUCAACACCAGGUUUGCAACAAUGAUAGCCAGCAUAGCUGAAGGAGUGAGCUCAGGGCUCUGCUCAGUCUUGUGACUCAUUAAGUGGUCCAUCAGCUGGGCUUCACAGGGUCACGUUUGCUGCCGACCCAAUGAAGGGCAUUCAAGGCACUGCCAUCACAUGUAGUACCUGAGGGCAUGGUAUGAUCCAGAGGAGGUGGUGGAGUGGGUACAGCUCCUGCUGGCAGGGGUUGAAGAGGGACAGAAGAGAGCUGAGCAACGUCCGAAUCACAUCACAGGACACGAGACAGUGUGAUCUCACCAGGCAUGUGAUCCCUUUCCUCCAUGGGAGAGGGAAGUAGACCAUGGACGUCAAGACCAGAUGUCAACCCCUGUUCUAAUUUAACCAAUCUUUAUGGCUUGCGAUGAUGGACAGGAUGCAAAAAUCUCAACUUCCCUUGGAGGCGAUGAUAAAAUUGAAAAGGCUGACAAGCAGUCACACUGAAUCUUAAAUGGGAAACCAAGGCUCUUUAUACAGAAACCAUUGGAGUCAUAAACAUGAAACUCUGCACUACUGUUUUUACAGUUUUUAAAUAUAAAGGAGCAUUUUAUGGCUGCUGGACUUCAAUCUGAACAGUUCAUACCCAGAAAGGAAAAAAGUGUUCUGAACGUGGUCUGUAAACACUGCAGAUGGCAGAGGGUUUUUUAAACUAAUGGGAAAGGGUAGAGUAAGAUCCAACAUCUGGUAACUAUGCUAACUACAUGCAAGAGAAAAGGUAUGCAUUCCUAGCAGUAAGGAUAUCUAACCAAAUUACUUAAGGGUGCGCUGGAUUCUUUCUCAGGCAAAGCCUUGAAACUGAACCUGCACACCCUACUAACAUAAGUCAGAGGCUCAACGUAGAAGCCAGCUGAUAAAAAUCAAUGGCUUUUUUCAGACAAGACGUUCAAAAAUAGUUCUUUCUGGGAUUAAAACUAUAUGCUGAGCAUUCAAUUCAAGUGGUAUAAAGGGAGAAGUAUUUAAUUUGGAAAUUCUUCAAUGAAAUGUCUCUCUUACUCUCUCUCUUUCAAAACAUGCCUGUUCAUGAAGAAACUUGAUACGGCCUUAGUGUUUGUACAAAUAUUUAGUAUUCACAAAGUGCAAUUCCUAUUCUUAUGUCCUCCCUAACAGUUAGAAGUUGUUAAGGCUCCAAACUUUUAACAGAAUAAUCAAGUCAGAAUGAACAAAUUAGAAAGAUUUAUCAGACAAGAGUUGUGAAAACUUCUGAUGCUGCUCAAAAAAUAGCUCAGGUCCAUAAUGAGGUGUUCAUUCUGCCUGUCAUCUCACAAGUAAGCUCACCGACUUCUGAGGUCAUGCGCAAGUACUUCUGGUAUGAAUCUCAGGCUCUCAUAAAUGAAUUCCUCAAUUCUCAUAGAAACAUUAUUCCCAAGAUAUUUGAAACUCUUAGGAGUGUUCUGGUAAGUCCUGAAAUCAAAACUGUUUUUAUACUAUGCCAUUAGAAAUAAUCACAUUUUUUUAGUGUCAGAAAUGCAGUGCAGAUUAUAACAUAUGACUUAGUUUUUCUCCAAGUUGCUACAACUGCAUGUGCCUCCAUAACAAGCAACACAAUGCCCUUUUCAAUAUUUUAG
rnacentral:lncRNA from 1 species